AGUGGUUCGGUCUUCCUUUGCUACCGCUUUACCAGAUUGAGCUGUUUUUGAGCUAGCAACAUCUUCAGUAAUAACGGUAGUCGAAGGUUCACCAGGAUGAGAGACGCCUUGCUGUGAUUGCCCAUUUUCAUCGAUCAUCUCCAGUUCAUCGACUUCCUCCUCCAUAACAGCACCGUCCAUUCCAAAGGCCUCAUCCUCUUCAUAGUCAGACAUUUUGUAUGCAAUUGCCAAAGGAGAAAAGGGGGACAAGGGCGAAUCUAAAAAAUUGGAAGUUGACAGAGGAAAUUCUCAUACACCUAGUCAGCGUUCGAAUUGUGAAUCCGUGUUAAAUCUCAUUACUUUACACUACAAUGCACUAUUUACAUCUUAUAUGUUUAAUUCAUAGAAAGAUCGAACGCACGCUCCACUGAAACAUUUCAGAGA